CGAAAAGAAAACUAGUCUGAAUGGGAAAGUACAUGGCUACUUUGAUGAGCUUAAAAAUGAAACUGUAAUCACUCAGGGAAAAAAAAAAACUAUCUCCCAGCUUCAGGGGGAGCAGAGGGUGCGGGAAAAUAGCAGCCUGGCAGGAGCAGCCAGAGUGUCCAGCAGAGGCGCAGCGACAGCGGCAGGAGAGGCCGACAGGCAGCGAGGCAGGGGAUUGGACACAAAGCUUCCUGAGCCACGAAUGAAGAUAAACAGUUUUCCAGAAACAUCCUCAUACACGUCUCCUUGGUGUCUGCACAGGAUGGUGCUGGACCAGGCAUCCACUCCAGAGAAUCUUCAGGAGGUGCUGAGUGCCCCCCAACCCCCAAGUGCAGCAUAUUCACAGCUAACCACCUUUUCACCUCAUCCCUGCUGGGCGAGUGUGGGAGGGGCUCUGACGGCUGCCUGAGGACCAAGGAGUUCAAAAUGCUGGCCAAGGACCGAGAAGGCACACUCUGAGCCCUGGGCCUUCUGCAGAGCCAGGCCUGGCAUCUGCCCCGAUAGUGCCUCCUUCCUCCACUGCAGCAUUAACAGUCCGUCCUGUGCACUGGGUGCCAUGUGGGUGCUGGGGACAGCACCGUACGUAACAAUGUCAGGCCAUGCCUAUGGAGCAAGGCAUCUAAGCACCUUAUAGAACUUCGUUUAAACCUGCUGACAGCCCUGUGAGUUAGGCACCACUUUACCUCCAUUUCACAGAUGAGGAAACCAAGGCACAAAGAGGUUAGUAAGUUGACAAAGGUCACACCAGAGAGGGAACCCACAAGCGGAGUUGGACAAGAGACCCCACUAUGCACCACUGUGCUGUCCACUCCUCCUCCACCCCCCAGAAGGCUCGCUGCCUCGGUCUACCUGCACCAGGCACAUCAAGUGCCAUAUUCUUGAGUCACCAUGUUCUUAUUUUGAACCUCAAUUCUUCAACCCACUCCUGGGUUUGCCCCUAGUGAGGCUAUCUCUGCAGUGGUCCCUUCGUGAACAUGGACAGGAAUGACACCUUUUCCCAGCUCUGUGGGGCUCCUCUCACCCCGCCCAGCUCCAUCCUUGUCAUUCCCACUUCUUCAUUGGCUUGAGCCUUCUGCCUUGGAGGCUAACCCUCUCUGAUUCUCUGAGGCUAAGCCCUGCCUCCCUCGGAGGGAAGCUGUCUUGCCCGUCCCCUCCAGCCAGUGUGAGUCAUCUUCCUCCUCAUCCCUGAGCAUCUACUGUUUAUACUAACCUUAAGCUCUUAGCCUGAGAGCUCAUUUUCUCUUCACCCCAAGUUUUAUGUUAAAGGCAACAAUCUUGUAUUUCCCACUCAGCCCAGAGCCUUGCAUAUAGGAAUGUUGGCCAAUGAUUUUGAUGACAGUAUCUUGUUUUUGUACAACGACUGACGCAGGAACUGUCUUCAGCUUCCCACCGCCCUUGGAGGGAGGCUGUUUACAGCCGCUCUGCACAGGAAGAAACAGGCUCGGAGAGGGUAUAAAGUGAUAAAGUGUGGCGCAGAUUUUUCUGGCUCGUAAACCAGCGCUAUUUCCCCUGCACCUUGCUUUUGGUGUCCACAUGACUCGAUGCAGAGUAAAUAGAGAAAGGAGUUUAGCAUGGGCUGAGCGGACCAGAGCCGUUCAUGCUCGGGCUUUGAGAGCCAGGUGGUUUGGGCUGAACAAAGAGGGGUUUCGGUGAGAGAACCACAGCGCCUCUGAAAACAGACCAAUGAUCAGGGGCUCCUUGAGGAAUGUAGAAUGAUGGAAGUGAACAUUUGGGCAUAUUUUUUAAUAACAGCUAAAUUGAAAUAUAAUUCAUAGACUAAAAUUUCCCCUUUUCAAGUACACAAUUCAGUGGUUUCCAGUGUGUUCACAGGGUUGUGCGACCGCCACGAAUAAUUUCACUAAAGCAUCUUCAUCAUCCGGUGAAGAAACACUGUGCCAUUGGCCGUCACUCCCAGGGCCCCUGCCCAAGGCCCCCGGCACCACCAUCUACCUUGUGUGUCUACGCAUUUGCCUGCUCCAGACGUUUCACAGAAAUGGGUUUACACACACAGGGCUUUUGUGACAGGCAUCUUUCUCUUUGUGUGAUCUUUUUGAAGUUCCUCCAUAUUGCAGAAAUAUUUCAUUUUGGGGGGCUCAACAGUAUCCCAUUGUAUAAAUGUACCAUAUUUUGUGUAUUCAUUCAUCAGCUGAUGGACAUUCGGCCUGCUCCCAAUGUUGUGUGUGAGUUCCUGUGCAGACACGCGUCCACUUCCCCGGGGCACACCACCACAAGCGGAGCGGCAGGGCCGCAUGGUAACUCCACAGCUAAGGUCUUGAGGAAAUGCCGAUCUGGCUUCCAAAGCAGCUCUUCCUUUUUACAAUCCCAACAGGGAUGUAUAUGGGCUUCAAUUUCUCCAUGUCCUCGACAACUUUGGUUAUUGUCUGUCUUUUUUAUUUUCAGCGUCUCGGUGGGUGUGAAGUGGUAUCUCAUCAUGGUUU